rnacentral:rRNA from 1 species
GAUGAACGCUGGCGGCGUGCCUAAUACAUGCAAGUAGAACGCUGAAGGAGGAGCUUGCUCUUCUGGAUGAGUUGCGAACGGGUGAGUAACGCGUAGGUAACCUGCCUGGUAGCGGGGGAUAACUAUUGGAAACGAUAGCUAAUACCGCAUGACAACAGUUAUUGCAUGAUAACUGUUUAAAAGGGGCAACUGCUCCACUACCAGAUGGACCUGCGUUGUAUUAGCUAGUUGGUGAGGUAACGGCUCACCAAGGCGACGAUACAUAGCCGACCUGAGAGGGGGAUCGGCCACACUGGGACUGAGACACGGCCCAGACGCCUACGGGAGGCAGCAGUAGGGAAUCUUCGGCAAUGGACGGAAGUCUGACCGAGCAACGCCGCGUGAGUGAAGAAGGUUUUCGGAUCGUAAAGCUCUGUUGUAAGAGAAGAACGAGUGUGAGAGUGGAAAGUUCACACUGUGACGGUAUCUGACCAGAAAGGGACGGCUAACUACGUG